GAUGAACGCUGACGGAAUGCUUAACACAUGCAAGUCAACCUGUGGCGGACGGGUGAGUAACGGGUAAAGAACUUGCCUCACAGCUAGGGACAACAUUUGGAAACGAAUGCUAAUACCUAAUACUGUGGGAGAGCUUGGCGGCCCAGUAGCUAGUUGGAGAGGUAACGGCGCACCAAGGCGAGGAUUGGUAGCCGGCCUGAGAGGGUGAUCGGCCACAAGGGGACUGAGAGGCGGCCCUGACUCCUACGUGAGGAAGGAGUGGAGACUGUAGGACAAUGGACCAAGGUCUGAGCCAGGCAUUCGGUGUGUACGAUGAGUUUUUCGGAAGGAAGAGUUUUUUCAGUUGAGAAGCGGUACCAACAGAAGAAGUGACGGCUAACUACGUGCCAGCAGCCGCGGUAAUAC
rnacentral:rRNA from 1 species